rnacentral:lncRNA from 1 species
CUGCACAGUGCAAAUGCAACCUCUUAAAAAAAGAAUUAUUUUUAUCAAGGAACAAUGUUUUGUAAUGAAAGAAAAAGCCAAUUUCUUUUUUUUUUUUUUUUUUGAGAUGGAGUCUCGCUCUGCCGCCCAGGCUGGAGUGCAGUGGCGCUAUCUUGGCUCACUGCAAGCUCCGCCUCCCAGGUUCACACCAUUCUCCUGCCUCAGCCUCCCUAGUAGCUGGGACUACAGGCGCCCACCACCAAGCCCAGAUAAUUUUUUUGUAUUUUUAGUAGAGACGGGGUUUCACCGUGUUAGCCAGGAUGGUCUCGAUCUCCUGACCUCGUGAUCCGCCUGCCUCGGCCUCCCAAAGUGCUGGGAUUACAGGCGUGAGCCACUGCACCCGGCCCAGUUUCCUAUUUUGAGCAGUGACUGUCAUGACUCAGAAAUAAGUGAAUGCAAUAGAGACAGGGUUCUGGAACUAUUGGCUAGUGUAAUAGAAUGUAUUAUUGGCUCAGGAUUCUUCCUUCCUCACCCUUCCUAUUGUUCUCAGCAGAAGUUUAGUUCCCCACCCAUUGAUGUUGUGCUCAGCCACACGACUUGCCCUGGCCAACGGAUGCAGAUGAAGUAAGAGUGUGCUACUACAGAGCAGAGGCCUUUAAUGACCUCCCCAGAAAACCUAAGCCAUAGCCUAAAGCCAAACCAUUCCAGCCACCCUGCAGAUCUACCGAGGAGGAAAACUAAUGUUUGUUGUUAAAAUAUUUUUCACAUUGCCAUGUGAGAAAGUAUGGUUUGUAAACAAUCAUCAGUUCAGGAAAAAUGUCUCACCUCUCUUAAUAAACUGAGCCAUUGAGUGUGAUUAAG